rnacentral:rRNA from 1 species
CGGGUACAGAGGGUCGCUAAGCCGCGAGGUGGAGCCAAUCCCAAAAAGCCGUUCUCAGUUCGGAUUGCAGGCUGCAACCCGCCUGCAUGAAGUCGGAAUCGCUAGUAAUCGCGAGUCAGCAUAUCGCGGUGAAUACGUUCCCGGGUCUUGUACACACCGCCCGUCACACCACGGGAGUUGGCAACACCCGAAGUUGGUAGUCUAACCGCAAGGAGGACGCCGCCUAAGGUGGGAUUGAUGACUGGGGUGAAGUCGUAACAAGGUAUC